UACGUAGGGUGCGAGCGUUGUCCGGAAUUACUGGGCGUAAAGAGCUCGUAGGUGGUUUGUCGCGUUGUUCGUGAAAACUCACAGCUUAACUGUGGACGUGCGGGCGAUACGGGCAGACUGGAGUACUGCAGGGGAGACUGGAAUUCCUGGUGUAGCGGUGGAAUGCGCAGAUAUCAGGAGGAACACCGGUGGCGAAGGCGGGUCUCUGGGCAGUAACUGACGCUGAGGAGCGAAAGCGUGGGGAGCGAACAGG
rnacentral:rRNA from 1 species